rnacentral:rRNA from 1 species
GUGAACGUUGGCGGCGUGGAUUAGGCAUGCAAGUCGCGCGGAAAGGCCCCGCAAGGGGUACUCAAGCGGCGAAAGGGAUAGUAACACGUGGGUAACCUACCCCCGGGACCGGGAUAGCUGCGGGAAACUGCAGGUAAUACCGGAUAGCGUCUCCGGACCAAAGGUGUGAUUCCGCCUGGGGAGGGGCCCGCGUCCUAUUAGCUAGUUGGCAGGGUAACGGCCUACCAAGGCUAAGAUGGGUAGGGGGUGUGAGAGCAUGACCCCCAUCACUGGGACUGAGACACUGCCCAGACACCUACGGGUGGCUGCAGUCGAGAAUCUUCGGCAAUGGGCGCAAGCCUGACCGAGCGACGCCGCGUGCGGGAUGAAGGCCCUCGGGUUGUAAACCGCUGUCAGAGGGAAAGAAAUGCUAGGGGGUUCUCCCUCUAGUUCGACUGACCCUCAGAGGAAGUACGGGCUAAGUUCGU